GCUGCGAUGGCCGAUGUGGUUAAGGCGUUGGACUCGAAAUCCAAUGGGAUAUUCCCGCGCAGGUUCGAAUCCUGUUCGCAGCG
rnacentral:tRNA from 1 species